AGUUCUCCUCUGUACUGUCUGUAAUAGAGGCCAACCACUCAACCUGUGUUGAAAUAAAACUCAGUAUUUCUCAUAGAAUGGUGAUUAAGUUCUCGGCAGAUCUUCUACCUUGCUACUGAAGAGGCUGCUAUACACUUGAACCAGUAGAAACACCAAAAACCAUCCAGAGCAUUUGAAACUCUGAUUUGUCAGCAGUUUCUCAUGCUCAAGGAGCAUCAAUAGAAGAAAUAUGGCCUCAAGCAGCUGGAAACUGGUAACAUUAUGCUUUGGGGCAAGACUGGUUCCUGAAGCUGGCUGAGAAAGGAUUCCCCAUGCCACUGCCUCUGUCAUACCCUUAAGGGAAGAAACAGUUCUGCUGACCUUCCAUUGAACAUCUUUCCACAACAAGUAUUGGUUUUAGGCCUUCUACUUUUUCUGAAUAGUGUAUCAGCAACCCACAGGAGAACAGGAGAGUGUGACAGGGCUUUGCUGUAAAAGGAUCAUUGUUUCAAGAGGUAUCAAUACAAGACCAUCAGCUCUCACAGACUUAAAUAAUUUUUUAAAAAUAAAGCCUAAGGAACAGCAGAGCAGUGAAACCAAGUCUCCAGACCUCACCGUGUGCUGUUGUUUCAGGCCUGACAUCUGCACGUGACCACUGGUCUCAGCCUCCUCUCUGGAGGGUGCUUCCCCCAGCACAGAGCAACCUUUGGUUUUCUAUCCAUUUCUCAGAAAAGAAAAACAAUUAAAAAUCAGCUUGUGAACUGAGGUGGGAUGGUGAAGGUUGGGACUGUCCGUACAGACUGGAACUGGAGCUGAAGGAGAGAGCCAAGAGAAGAGGAACCUUCUGUCAAGGUAUGACACGGCAAUUCUUCUGUGAUACUGAGAAUCAGGAUCAUUCUCUGUGGUACCUCUGGGCUUGUCAAACUCUCUUGCACACACCACCAACCCAAUCUGCCAAACUGACACAUGACCCUACAAAGAGUGUUUUGGACACAAAGAAAUUGCUUAAGUGAAUUCCGUAUUCCUUUCCAAGAUCAAAUCCAGCACUGGUCUUAUCUUUGGAAGUUCCUUGGUCUUUUAAAUCUGAGAUUUCAACAUAUUUCCAGCAAGGAGUAUGCAUUGAAAAUCUUUUCAUACCUCUUACAAAAAUACAGAGAUGUAUUUCAACUGCUGUCAUCCCUCUUAGCCUCCUGCAGACCAUCUGACCCAUCAGCUUGGCUUGCUACUGCUGCAAAACUGGGGUUUAACUUCAGGAAUGAACUUAGAGAUUGCUGUGGUUGCUACCUACUCAUGAUGGAGAAAGCAGGGCUAAAAUGCAGCUUGAAGGGAUACAGAAAGCUGGAGAGCCUGGUGGUAAUAAUUAGCAUCCCUUGAGGAGUGACUCCAUGUUCCUGAGCUGACCCCCAAGGUCUGGCUCUAACCCAACCUGAACAUCUCUAGGCCUCAGGAAUGACAUUUAAUUUUGAGAGCAUUUUGGCAGGCUUGGCAAGAAUGAACGAUCUGCUGAAGCCCAGCUCAAGAUGGUUCCUUCCCAGCCUGCAGAACUCCUCCUUGCUGGUGCUGCACCACAUUGGGUUAGUGGAGCUGGAAGCUCAGUUCAGCCAUGCACAACUCUGCUAUACUUCCACAUCGCUCCUGAAAAAGCAAGACAAGUAUCGUGCCAGUGGGCGUGUAUCUAUUUGGAGACAGCAAGAAGAAGGAAUGAAAGCCAGGACCUGAUUAUGAGAAAAUUGUACAGGGCUGACAAGCCUAUAACACUGCUUUCAGUUGUGACUUUUCCAAGUUCAAGUAUCUCUGAGGAUUGAUCAGCCUGGUGUGUGCAGGAAAAAAAAGUCUGAUUCAUUCACUGUUAGCUAAUUUAUUUCUGGAAACUAAUUACAUUUUUGAAGUAUUCUGUAAUAUUAUGAUGGACUCCUAGUUAAGUAAAAGAGUUGAAGCAAUCUGGUGAAAGAUGGAGUAUAAUUCUGCAUUGCUUUUCUUUACCCUGAGCAAAGCAUGGCUGGCAGUUUUCCACAAGUCUUUAUUACUUCUAAUGACAUAGCAAUUUUUACUCUGGGGAAGAAUAACUCAAGUAGUUGCAUACUAAGGACCCUACUUUUAUAAGCAUCUUAACCUCCUUUUUUUUUUUUUCCUUUCCUGAAUUUCACAUUUUGAAACACAGGUCCCAGGUUUUGCUUUUAGUGGCUGCCUGAACUGGCAUUGCUACAACUCAGACUGGUUUUAGGAUACAUAGUGUUACUCAGAAUCUCCUGUACUUUCUAAUAAAUAGUCACUCGAUUCAACUUCUUAUUUAAUAUACACUUCACACACUGUAGAGCUUAAAUUCACUUUCCUUUCCAAGUCUGUUUCAAUGAGCAGAGCGAUGAACAGUAAUACUGUGUUGAAUUUAGCUCAGCAUUUUUCCUCCGGCUGGCUGUCUCCUCAGCUUCUUCCUGAAAGGGCUGUACUACGUAUUACCUUGCUGUGGACAGCUAUACUGGUCUGCCUUAAAUCUGGGAAGGCUCAGUGAGCUGGAAGAAAAUACUUAAUAUUCCUUGAUAUCAGCACAUGCCAAGGGGGCCAUUUUUUUUUUUUUCAGUCAAACCCUGUCUCUUACAUUCUCUGAUGUAGCACAGAAAUAUGGCAGUUAAUAUAUAGGUUUUUUUAUCUCGGCUGAAGGCCUGUUAAAAAUGGUACUCUUAUCUGUUAUCCAUCAAAGAGUGUCAGAGGCCAGAUCCAAAGUAAGCAGAUUUCUAGGGUUUGCCUUCUUUCUGUCCAGAAGUGAUCCAGGGCUUGAGGACAUGCCAGGCAACACGUAAGUUUUCAAAAUUGUACUGUUGUUAUGUAUGCAUACAAACAUGUAAAAUGCAAACAUAAUGUGUAUAUGCUAUGUAGUUGCUACAUAAACAAGUAUGAAAAAUCCAGA